rnacentral:rRNA from 1 species
GAUGAACGCUGGCGGCGUGCCUAAUACAUGCAAGUCGAGCGAACAGAUAAGGAGCUUGCUCCUUUGACGUUAGCGGCGGACGGGUGAGUAACACGUGGAUAACCUACCUAUAAGACUGGGAUAACUUCGGGAAACCGGAGCUAAUACCGGAUAACAUAUUGAACCGCAUGGUUCAAUAGUGAAAGGCGGCUUUGCUGUCACUUAUAGAUGGAUCCGCGCCGUAUUAGCUAGUUGGUAAGGUAACGGCUUACCAAGGCAACGAUACGUAGCCGACCUGAGAGGGUGAUCGGCCACACUGGAACUGAGACACGGUCCAGGCUCCUACGGGAGGCAGCAGUAGGGAAUCUUCCGCAAUGGGCGAAAGCCUGACGGAGCAACGCCGCGUGAGUGAUGAAGGUCUUCGGAUCGUAAAACUCUGUUAUCAGGGAAGAACAAAUGUGUAAGUAACUGUGCACAUCUUGACGGUACCUGAUCAGAAAGCCACGGCUAACUACGUG